rnacentral:rRNA from 1 species
UACGUAGGGGGCAAGCGUUGUCCGGAAUUAUUGGGCGUAAAGCGCGCGCAGGCGGUUUUUUAAGUCUGGUGUAUAAACCUUGGGCUCAACUUAAGGAGGCACUGGAAACUGGGGAACUGGAGUGUAGGAGAGGAAAGUGGAAUUCCACGUGUAGCGGUGAAAUGCGUAGAGAUCGGGAGGAACACCUGUGGCGAAGGCGGCCGACUGGGCCGACCCUGACGCUGAGGCGCGAAGGCGUGGGGAGCGAACGGG